UACGUAGGGGGCUAGCGUUGUCCGGAAUCAUUGGGCGUAAAGGGCGCGUAGGCGGUUGGAUAAGUCUUGUGUGAAAUCUUCGGGCUCAACUCGAAGUCUGCACGAGAAACUAUCUGGCUUGAGUGUGGGAGAGGUGAGUGGAAUUCCUGGUGUAGCGGUGAAAUGCGUAGAUAUCAGGAGAAACACCUGUGGCGAAAGCGGCUCACUGGACCACAACUGACGCUGAGGCGCGAAAGCUAGGGGAGCAAACAGG
rnacentral:rRNA from 1 species